CUGGUCUCCACGUGCAGAAUGAGACACUUUCGGACAUAACUUCCAUGGGAAUUUGUUUUCCUUGACUCCUAAUCUGUUGCAAGGCUGACACCAUAAUAACAGAGAGGAGCCCUUUGGGAGAAGAGAGCGGCAGAGAGAGCUUCGGAAGAUUUGAGAGAUCAAAAAUUGGGGAAAUUUACAGAGAUGAUUAUAGAUGGAUUUUAAAUAACACGGGCCUAACCGGGCCCUAUGCAUGUAUUUAAAUGACGACUUUAAAAAUACCUUUUAAAGCUGCAGAAUUCUGUUACAAGGCCCGGCGUGAUCCCAGGGCUGUGCCCUAUGUGAGGUACGGGGGCGCCUUUGUGUGGAUCUACUCUCUUUGCUCCCCCUUCUCCUUAUUUCCUACCAUGAGGGGAAUUGGGAAAUUGGGGCCAGAAGCUGCAUCCUCUGGUCUCCUCAGAGAAAAGGGUUUGGGAUAAAGUUCUAUCUGUCUGCUCCCUUAAAUAUUAUGAUAAUCUUUAAUAAAUUUAAUAUUAUUAUUAUUCAUCAUA